rnacentral:rRNA from 1 species
GACAGAGGGUGCAAACGUUGCUCGGAAUUACUGGGCGUAAAGCGCGUGUAGGCGGACUGGUGUGUCGGAUGUGAAAUCCCCAGGCUCAACCUGGGAACUGCAUUCGAAACUGCCAGCCUUGAGUGGUGGAGAGGGAAGUGGAAUUCCUGGUGUAGAGGUGAAAUUCGUAGAUAUCAGGAGGAACACCAGUGGCGAAGGCGGCUUCCUGGACACCAACUGACGCUGAGACGCGAAAGCGUGAGGAGCAAACAGG